UAGCGGUGAAGGACACCGGCCUUCUCCGCUCUUUCUCCAGGCAGACUCCACGCUCCUGUGCCCGGCUUCCCCACAUGCUGCACAUCUGCCCAGUAUUGCAAGUCUCUGAUCUGCCUGCAAGGAGCCCCAGUGACACAGUGGUGGUGAUGAAAUGAGCCGGAAGCUCCUGGGGGCCACCUUGAGGAGGCUCAGGAUGUUGAAUCAACUGUCUAGAGAUGGAUCUGGUGACACUUUUUAAUCUCUGAAUCAGAUUACCUGGAAACGAGGCAAGAGGCUGUGAUCCUGUGGGGAUUAUGAUUUCACCACAUCUUGGAACCACUUUUCUUCAGAACAAGAAACUGCAAUACAAAGGGAUCCUUGUAUUGACCAAAGGGGUGCUGGGAAGUACCUGCUGCUCGGCAAGAUUUUCUGAGUGCCCUGAAGUUCUCCUGUCAGUAAGGUUCCUUUGUCUGAGAAUUCUUACGAAUCCUCUGUAAAUGUAGACCUGUAUUACUUAUACAUUUCGGUGCUUCCCAAAGUGGGGGAUACCACCCCGUGGGGGGUGGGCUCUGGAAUGAUGGAGGGGAGGUGCUGAAAAAACAAUGCUUGCACGUUAUCCUGGAUUACGGGCUUCAGUACAAACCUUUUAAUUGCUGGGGGGGCGCUGAGUAAUUUUUUGUUCUGAAAAGGGGGCGAUAGGCCACCUAAGGUUGGGAACCUCUGAUUAUGACUGUACAGAAACUCGGAAGAAAUGAACAGAAAUGAUGACUGGCUGAGAGGUGGGUGGGAACCUGAUUAAUGAAGGCAUGGGAAUGACACUUUGCAUGGUCAUUUUGAUACCGAGUUUUGAGUCAUCUGAAUGUCUUGGCUGUUCAAAAACUAAAUAAAAAAUGAAUGCCCUCUC